rnacentral:rRNA from 1 species
AGAGAGAGACAUGCGCGCAUAUCAAUAAGCGGAGGAAAAGAAACUAACAAGGAUUCCCUUAGUAACGGCGAGUGAAGCGGGAAGAGCUCAAAUUUGAAAUCUUCAAGGUUUUACCUUGACGAAUUGUAGUUUAAAGAAGUGUUUUCUGCUGAAGUUUUGGUAAAAGUUCUUUGGAAUAGGACAUCAUAGAGGGUGAGAAUCCCGUAUUUGACCAUUAUUUUCAGCUUUGUGAUACACUUUCAAAGAGUCGGAUUGUUUGGGAAUGCAGUCCAAAAUGGGUGGUAAAUUUCAUCUAAAGCUAAAUAUUGGCGAGAGACCGAUAGCGAACAAGUACCGUGAGGGAAAGAUGAAAAGAACUUUGAAAAGAGAGUUAAACAGUACGUGAAAUUGUCAAAAGGGAAGCGUUUGACACCAGUGUUGUUUUCUCGAAAAUCAAUUAAAAAUGGCUCGAUUUUGUAUUGUUGAGACCUUAAAAGCUCACUGUACAUUUUUCGUGUCUUUUUUAAUGCACUUUUCGUUUAACAAGUCAACAUCAGUUUCUUUUGUUGUAAAAGGGUCAUUGGAAGGUGGCUUUCUUUUCGGAGAAAGUGUUUAUAGCCUUUGGCCUCUGCAAUCGGAAGAGACUGAGGUCUGCAGCGUAGACUCUUCGGGGUUAGAUACAUUUGUGCUAAGUUAUAGCUUUUUAUAGACAACUUGUUGACUAUAAUUAGUCCUGUAGCUUACUCGCUUAUGCUAUUUUACCUACGCUUAGGAUGUUGAAGAUGUAGCACAUCAU